rnacentral:rRNA from 1 species
AUUGAACGCUGGCGGAAUGCUUUACACAUGCAAGUCGAGCGGCAGCGCGGGGCAACCUGGCGGCGAGCGGCGAACGGGUGAGUAAUGCAUCGGAACGCACCCAAUUGUGGGGGAUAACUAUCCGAAAGGAUAGCUAAUACCGCAUAAGUCCUGAGGGAGAAAGCGGGGGAUCGCAAGACCUCGCGCGAUUGGAGCGGCCGAUGCCGGAUUAGCUAGUUGGUAGGGUAAAGGCCUACCAAGGCGACGAUCCGUAGCUGGUCUGAGAGGAUGAUCAGCCACACUGGAACUGAGACACGGUCCAGACUCCUACGGGAGGCAGCAGUGGGGAAUUUUGGACAAUGGGGGCAACCCUGAUCCAGCCAUUCCGCGUGAGUGAAGAAGGCCUUCGGGUUGUAAAGCUCUUUCGGCAGGAACGAAACGGUUUGGGUUAAUACCCUGAGCUAAUGACGGUACCUGAAGAAGAAGCACCGGCUAACUACGUGCCAGCCGCCGCCGUAA